UUGCCUUAAACUAAUGAGUAAGGAAAACAAAGCGAGCGGUGAGAGCCGGUCGCGGCGCUAACUCAUGGAUGACCUCUUAGGAGGUUGUUUGCUUGCGCAAGAAUUUAUGGAGGGGAAAUAGGCUGGCCAAAGUGUUGACGCUGCCUCUUUUGCAGAACUCACUUGUGCGGGCCUCCCU